rnacentral:rRNA from 1 species
UACGUAGGGUGCAAGCGUUAAUCGGAAUUACUGGGCGUAAAGGGCUCGUAGGCGGCCAACUAAGUCCGACGUGAAAUCCCCAGGCUCAACCUGGGAACUGCGUCGGAUACUGGAUGGCUUGAAUUCGGGAGAGGGAUGCAGAAUUCCAGGUGUAGCGGUGAAAUGCGUAGAUAUCUGGAGGAAUACCGGUGGCGAAGGCGGCAUCCUGGACCGACAUUGACGCUGAGGAGCGAAAGCUAGGGGAGCAAACGGG